GCCGAGAAAGAAUCGGGGUCCUCAAGGGUCAUGACAUCACACCAGCCCACUCCUUGGAUGCCUCCCCUGUCCAGGACCAGGAAGAGCCUGUAGUCACGCCCUGCUCCUUCCCCCCAUGGUUUCCUCUUCCAGCGUCAAUAGCUCUGCCUGUCUAACCUGAAUUUUACUUGUUUCAGGCUAAACCCAUUUCCUUUUAUUAAGGUCUCCCUGGAAUGCAGCACAGCUCUUACUGCUCUCUUCAUAAAAGCCUUUUACCUAAUGACUCCUGCAAGCACCGCACUCAUCUCCCUCUGUCACCUCCCACCCAGCCUUUGCUGACACCAUGUCACCUGCCCAACUGAAUUUUGGCCCCCUGUCAAGACCUGGAUCAAUCCCACAGCUCUGCCCGUCAGCACCCUCUGAGGUCCACCGGAAGUGGAGGUCCUCGAAGCCAAAGCAGCUGGAGAAGGU
rnacentral:lncRNA from 10 species